rnacentral:rRNA from 1 species
CAUUCACGGAGAGUUUGAUCCUGGCUCAGGACGAACGCUGGCGGCGUGCUUAACACAUGCAAGUCGAACGAUGAAGCCCCUCGGGGUGG